UUCAAUCAUGAUAUUGAUGGAUUUAUUUCUCUCAAGCUUUCUUGCAAGUAAUUCUAUUCUCUAACUUAUAAUUACUGCAAGUAUUCCUAUUCAAAUUCUAUAUUUAGAAGCAAGUGCUCUUUCCUUGAAACUUUUAUUUAUUGCAAAUGCACGACUUAAAUACGAUUUUGAGUUGGAAAGAGUGACNCAAAAUCUCUACAAAUGAUUUUCAUGUCCCGGUUUAGUUCCUAUGGUUGUAAGGCUUAUCUGUUGUAAGUAUACUUCCGAUGAAAUAAACCUUUUCUUAAAAUGCAAAUUCUUUAGAACUGGGAAGUAAAAGAAAAAUUCAGAUAUAAUCAUUGGACUAUUGUUUUGUUUGCGUAAGAGGUCGAUGCCCAGCUUUGCGUAAGAGGUCUAUGCCCAGCCUAUUGUUUUGUUUGCAUAAGAGGCCCUUGGCCCAGCUUUAUAUGGAGACCUAGCUAGUCUUCAGUUCCGGAUCAUUUUAUUUUAGGGCAAUGCGUAACCAUUGUCCGGGUUACUGUAGACUGAUCAGCUACAGUGACUAUUAACGUCCAAUAUAUCUGAAUGCUUUGGAAAUUUAUGUAUACUUUUGAAUUGUUUUGGUUGCAAGUUAAAAGCAUGUUGUUUUGUAUACUUCCAGUUCAAUUACUUUCUCUGCUUUAAAUCCUGUUUCUUUUUAACUAUUAUACUUACUGAGCAUUCUUUUGCUCAUUCUUGCUAUUUCUUCUAACCCCUUUCAGAUAAUGUUAAAGAUGGUUCGCCUAUUUAGGCUAAGAAUAAGAAUAAGGCUAGGCGAGGAUUGCAAGUGAUUAAGUUUCAACCUGAUGGUCAGGAAGAGUAUCCAAGAUCGAGUCUUUGGGACUAGUGGUAAUUGGAGUUGUCUAAAUUUGGUUUAGUUGUAAAAAUAUAUUUGUUAAAUUGGAUAUUGGUUAUCCCUUAUAUCGAGGUUUAGUUGAUAGUCUAGUUCAAGCUGUAAUCAGAUCAGUAGUUUUGUUUUCUGAUUUCAAUACUAUAACCUGUUUGCGAUCCUAUUUUAAAGGGGGUGAAAUUGAGUUUUAAUUUAAAUCAUUUUUUUUAUAUAUUCAGGUUUUGAAAUACUUGUUUUAAUUUCUUUCGAAAAUACAGGUUUUAAAUUGUUUUUCUUUUAGUGGCACCAAAUCCAG
rnacentral:lncRNA from 1 species